GAGUAAACAUCCUGACACAGAGUAUACUAAAUCAAGCCCUUCAAGUUUAGACGAUUUCUGUAGGAUUCCGCCAUUUAAACGAAAAAAAAGAAGAAACCGACGAAUCAGAACAUAAUUCAGACUGAAUAGACAACAUCCGGAAUCCAAUAAGACUAUGAAAGCGAUAUAUUAAAAUUAGCAUCACGAUUUUUGCCUCAAGGACUCUAGCUAUUGAAGGAAAGAAACAAACGAUUCUAAUGCAGUAACUAUUGCAAAGAUACAUAUUUUAACAUUAAAAUAUAUAAUAGUUCAAAAAUAGUGUCAAUAUUAGAAUAUAUAAUAGUUCAAAAAUAGUGUAAUUAAUUUUUUAAUUUUUAUUUCGUUAUAUUUAUGGCAUCAUCAACGUCUUACAAUUAAUGCGUUUCUAAUCUAGUGUAUAUCUUAUCUCAUAUAUUUUUAAAAAAUCAUAAAUGUGAACUUUUUGAAUUUGAUAUUAUUCCUAUUGCUAGUGAUUAUCUCAUUUAUUAUAUACGUAUCUUAUACAUUUUACUGUUAGAAAAAGCAUAUAAAAUAAGAUUGAAUUAUAUAGUUUAAGUACUUUUUAUUUAAGGAACCAUUAUUUUUAUCGAUUUUGUACAUUAAUAUCGUAUAGAAGAAUAUUUGAAAUAGAAUUAAUAAAAUAGAAUCAUACAGAAAACAAAAACAGAGCAAUUAUUUGCACAAAUAAAAAUAAUACGCAUUUAUUACAAUUA